UACGGGGGGGGGCAAGCGUUGUUCGGAAUUACUGGGCGUAAAGGGCUCGUAGGUGGCCAACUAAGUCAGACGUGAAAUCCCUGGCUUAACCGGGGAACUGCGUCUGAUACUGGAUGGCUUGAGUUUGGGAGAGGGACGCGGAAUUCCAGGUGUAGCGGUGAAAUGCGUAGAUAUCUGGAGGAACACCGGUGGCGAAGGCGGCGUCCUGGACCAACACUGACACUGAGGAGCGAAAGCCAGGGGAGCAAACGGG
rnacentral:rRNA from 1 species